rnacentral:rRNA from 1 species
UACAGAGGUGGCAAGCGUUGUUCGGAAUUACUGGGCGUAAAGGGCGCGUAGGCGGUCUUGCAAGUCCUGUGUGAAAUCCCUCGGCUCAACUGAGGAACUGCACAGGAAACUGCUUGGCUUGAGUUCGGGAGAGGGAAGCGGAAUUCCGGGUGUAGCGGUGAAAUGCGUAGAUAUCCGGAGGAACACCGGUGGCGAAGGCGGCAUCCUGGACCGAGAUUGACGCUGAGGCGCGAAAGCGUGGGGAGCAAACGGG